UACGGCGAUAUCGUAUUGAAACACUGGUUUCCGUAAGUUUAUCGAAGUUAAGCAACGUCGAACCAGGUCAAUACCUAGGUGGGUAACCACUUGGGAAUACCAAGUGCUGUAAG